CUCAAAUGCAGCUUCCCCAAAAGGAAGCCCAGACAUUGAGCAAAGAAAUAAAGCACUAACUCAAAGACAGAAACUAACCCAAAAUAUUCCCUUUGCAGUGCUUUUCACUAAAAUCAUGUCACAGCAGUGCUCCUGUGUCUGGCCAAUACUCAUGUCCACAUGAGUAGCUGUGUGUGUUGGGUGUGGGACUUUGCCAGCUGUUACAGAGGCUGAGAGUUUAUAAAGACUUACAAGCAAUACCUGACUUCUUUGUAUCCAGCUGGUGUUUUCAUCCUUUAAGCUAAAAGUGGUGCAGGUGGGGCUGUUCUUUCUAGGGUGAACAGCUGAGUGGAGGAGGGAGGAGAAACUCCUGACCCACAGUGAGCAGAGGGAAGGAAGUUUGGUCAUCUUUAGGAAGCUCACUAUAAGGAAAACUGGGAAGAUGUAGUUCAAAGCUCUGACUGAGGAGGAAUCCCAUCAGGCUUUCCCCUGCCUGGUACAGGAGAGACCCAACCUGCAUGGCUUGCUGCUAGUUAAUAUUUGGGCAAUGACACCACGCUCUCCCUAACUCAAUUAAGAUAUGAGAAAGUGAGGAGCUGGUGGAGGCCAGCAGCUCUUAGCCUGCUGAGCUGAGGCAAGCCAUGCUCCUGUUCCUACCCUAAGCACAAGCAAUGACCUGGCAGCAAGCUGUGUAACUCACAUUGGCUGUUCUCAUGGAUGGAAUGCUUUUGGGGUUAAUUUUGUGGAAUUCAGCAGAGAAAUAAAACACAAAAUAAUGCUGCAUCGAAAAAAAAAAAUAUUGCAACAUAAGUUGAAAAGCCAAAACUGAAGGGCAAAGGUGGCAGGAAAGGAGGCACAGUACAUAAUUUCUGAUGGCAAAAUAACAUCUCACAGUUAGUGCGUUCAAAUCUGUUUCUAGCAACUAAUAGUUCUUUCUUUUGGAUUGGGGGGAUUAGCAGUAACAGGUGAUAGGACUUUAAAAUGAAAACAUUAAAAUAGUCUACUUACCAAAG
rnacentral:lncRNA from 1 species